rnacentral:lncRNA from 1 species
AUGGGAUUAUUAAAAUACACUGACAACCAACUCUUUUACAGCUUUGGGAUUUCCAGUGGAAACAGAAGCUCAAACAACCACUGCUGCUCCAAAAACAACUACAGCUGCCUCAACAACAACCACAGCUGCUCCAACUACAACCACGGAUGCUCCAACUACAACCACGGAUGCUCCAACUACAACCACAGCAGCUCCAACUACAACCACAGCUGCUCCAACUACAACCACAGCAGCUCCUACAACAACCACAGCUGCUCCAACUACAACCACAACUGCUCCUACUACAACCACAACUGCUCCUACUACAACCACAUCUGCUCCUACUUUAACCACAGCUUCUUCAACAACAACCACAGCUGCUCCAACUACCACCACAACUGCUCCUACUACAACCACAUCUGCUCCUACUACAACCACAACUGCUCCUACUACAACCACAUCUGCUCCUACUACAACCACAUCUGCUCGUUCUACAACCACAGCUGCUCCAACUACAACCACAACUGCUCCUACUUCAACCACAUCUGCUCCUACUACAACCACAGCUGCUUCAACUACAACCACAGCUGCUCCUACUACAACCACAUCUGCUCCUACUACAACCUCUACUGCUCCUACUACAACCACAUCUGCUCCUACUACAACCACAGCAGCUCCAACAACAACCACAGCUGCUCCAACUACAACCACAACUGCUCCUACUACAACCUCUACUGCUCCUACUACAACCACAUCUGCUCCUACUACAAACACAACAGCUCCAACAACAACCACAGCUGCUCCAACCACAACCACAACUGCUCCUACUACAACCACAUCUGCUCCUACUACAACCACAGCAGCUCCAACUACAACCACAGCAGCUCCAGCAAAAACCACAGCAGCUCCAACUGCAACCACAACUGCUCUUACUACAACCACAACUGCUCCAACCACAACCACAGCUGCUCCUGCUACAACCACAGCUGCAGCAAGUACGACCACAGCUGCUCCAUCCACAACUGCUGUUCAACCUACAACUACAUCUGCCACAACUACAACCACAACCACUGCUUUUCCUACUACAAUUAUAGCAGCUCCAGCCAUAACCAGUGCAGCUGCUGCCACACCCAUAGAAGCUCCAAUUCCAACCACUGUAGUUCCAACAACAACCACAGUGACUCCUACUUCAACAACUGUUGCUCCAACUACACCUGUAACAACUAUAACCACAGCCACUCCAACCACAACCACAGCUGCUACAACUACAACCACAACUGCUCCAACCACGAAAACAACAGCCUCAAUUACAUCCAGCGUAUCGUUAACCACAACCACAGCUGCUCCUACUACAACAAUUGCUGCUUCAACUACAGCUGCAACAAAUACAACCACAACUGCUCCCACGAAAGCCACUGCUGUUCCAACUACAACUACAGCUUCAACAACUACAACCACGGCUGUUCCUACUACAACCACAGCAGCUCAAACUACUACCACCGUUUCUUCAACGACAACCACGGCUGCUCCUACUACAAUUACAGUUGCUCCUACUACAACUGCUGCUGCUCCAACUACAACUCUAAGAACUACAACCACAACUGCUCCUACUACAACUUCAAGUACAACUACAGCUGCAACAACUACAACCACAACAACUGCUGCUCUAACUCCAACAACUUCAGCUUCAGCCACAACCACAACAGGUCCAACUAA